rfam:Camelus ferus unplaced genomic scaffold scaffold707, whole genome shotgun sequence.
GAGGGUGUAGCUCAGUGGUAGAGCGUGAGCUUAGCAUGCACGAGGUCCUGGGUUCAAUCCUCAGUACCUCCA